rnacentral:rRNA from 1 species
UACGUAGGUGGCAAGCGUUGUCCGGAAUUACUGGGCGUAAAGCGUGCGCAGGCGGUUUUGUAAGUCUGUCGUGAAAGCCCCGGGCUCAACCUGGGAAUUGCGAUGGAGACUGCAAGGCUUGAAUCUGGCAGAGGGGGGUAGAAUUCCACGUGUAGCAGUGAAAUGCGUAGAGAUGUGGAGGAACACCGAUGGCGAAGGCAGCCCCCUGGGUCAAGAUUGACGCUCAUGCACGAAAGCGUGGGGAGCGAACAGG